CCAUCUCUACGGCGACGGCGCCGCACAAUAAGCUGCUGCUGAUGCAGCCGCCACAGCCGGCAUCUCCAGCGUCUACAACUCACGUGCCCUAACGACUCCUACCUAUCCGACCUGACCCUCCGGUACCUUUCCGAGUGGGACCCUUCGGUCUCCGCCACCGACGACCAUAGCCGAAGUAGCUCUAUGUAUCUGGUGACGUCGUCGCAUUUGAUGUCCUAGUCUUCAUGGCCAACUCCCGAUGUCGAGCCCGGCGUGAAACUCCCCUCUGAAGGUUCCGCUUGUCGCUUCCAAGUGAAUCCCUUCCUGAGAGACAUGGAGAGCCAGAUUGUCCAUAUAAAUACUUUAUAAAGACUCAAAGAUGCAAAUUUGGUAUGUGGUGCAAGUUCAAUCAUCCGAAGGACAAACUGGCUGUUGCUUCAGAAAAUACUGAUUUUUUGCCUUACCUGAGAGGCCUUCUGAACCCCCAUGUGCAUUCCACUUGUAAACGGGGCAAUGUAAGUUUGGUGCAACCUGCAAAUUUCAUCACCUGAAAGAUAUCUUGAUACCAUCAGCCGAGCAAGAGAAUACAAUUGGAGAAACUAGGACAACAAUUCAGCCGGAGGGAACUGAAUUUGCUGUGAAGCCUCUUGUUUCAUUCAGCCCUGCACUAUCAUUUAACUCCAAGGGUCUUCCUGUAAGACCGGGUGAACCUGAUUGUCCAUUCGAUUUCUACCUAAUUGGAAGUUGCAAGUAUGGGGCCACUUGGGCACGACUUAAGAGAACAGAAAAAGGCACUAUGGGACGAUCUUGUUGCUGCCUCCACCACGCACUCAGCACCGUCAACAAUACCUCCUUUGGUGAGGAGAAGAAGGCCACGCAGAGAAGUUUGUAAUCGGUAAUGUCCCAAGUUUGUAAUCAGUAAUCUCAAGGCAUGAAUUCUUUAUAAAGUACUGCAACAUAAAAAAGGGUAUUUAUGUGAUCCACCAGUACUUGGCCACUUUUCUCGUGCAUCAGGGCCUUCAUGCGAUCUGAUAAUCAACUUGAGUUGAAAUUUAUUGAGAAAAUUCUGAGUGUAGUAUGGACCCCAAAGCAGACCAAUGCCUUUCUAUAUUUGGAGAAAGACCAGGAGUCAUUAAGGGAUCUGACCACAUCAUGUCACCAGGAACCAAGUUGGGACCUCCUCAUGGAGCAUCAAGAAAGGUCCCAACUUGAUUCUUGUUGACGUGAUGUGGUUAGAUCCUCAAUGAAUCCUGAUCUUUCUUCAAAUAAAGAGAGGCAUUGGUCUGAUUUGGGGUCCUAACUGCACUGAGAAUUUUCUCAAUAAAUUUAAACUCAAGUUGAUUAUCAAAUCGCAUGAAGGCCUUGAUGCACGUGAAAAGAGGACAUUAUUGAUUACAAAAUUCUAUGUUAGUGGGAUGCGAUUUGCGAGGCUGUACCCUUACCCUUUAUUUGGAUGAAGGAAUUGAAAAUUACAUAUUAUUCUAAAAUGACAGAAUUUGGAUCUCUGUCAUUUAAAUUUCAAUGUUUGGAUUUAUAUAUGUCGGAUUUUGUAAA